rnacentral:rRNA from 1 species
UGAUGCGCCAUGCCGCGUGUGUGAAGAAGGCCUUCGGGUUGUAAAGCACUUUCAGUCGUGAGGAAGGUGGUGGUGUUAAUAGCUGUAUCAUUUGACGUUAGCGACAGAAGAAGCACCGGCUAACUCCGUGCCAGCAGCCGCGGUAAUACGGAGGGUGCGAGCGUUAAUCGGAAUUACUGGGCGUAAAGCGCAUGCAGGUGGUUUGUUAAGUCAGAUGUGAAAGCCCGGGGCUCAACCUCGGAAUAGCAUUUGAAACUGGCAGACUAGAGUACUGUAGAGGGGGGUAGAAUUUCAGGUGUAGCGGUGAAAUGCGUAGAGAUCUGAAGGAAUACCGGUGGCGAAGGCGGCCCCCUGGACAGAUACUGACACUCAGAUGCGAAAGCGUGGGGAGCAAACAGGAUUAGAUACCCUGGUAGUCCACGCCGUAAACGAUGUCUACUUGGAGGUUGUGGCCUUGAGCCGUGGCUUUCGGAGCUAACGCGUUAAGUAGACCGCCUGGGGAGUACGGUCGCAAGAUUAAAACUCAAAUGAAUUGACGGGGGCCCGCACAAGCGGUGGAGCAUGUGGUUUAAUUCGAUGCAACGCGAAGAACCUUACCUACUCUUGACAUCCAGAGAACUUUCCAGAGAUGGAUUGGUGCCUUCGGGAACUCUGAGACAGGUGCUGCAUGGCUGUCGUCAGCUCGUGUUGUGAAAUGUUGGGUUAAGUCCCGCAACGAGCGCAACCCUUAUCCUUGUUUGCCAGCACUUCGGGUGGGAACUCCAGGGAGACUGCCGGUGAUAAACCGGAGGAAGGUGGGGACGACGUCAAGUCAUCAUGGCCCUUACGAGUAGGGCUACACACGUGCUACAAUGGCGCAUACAGAGGGCAGCCAACUUGCGAGAGUGAGCGAAUCCCAAAAAGUGCGUCGUAGUCCGGAUCGGAGUCUGCAACUCGACUCCGUGAAGUCGGAAUCGCUAGUAAUCGUGGAUCAAAAUGCCACGGUGAAUACUU